AUGAACGCUAGCUACAGGCUUAACACAUGCAAGUCGAGGGGCAGCAUGAACUUAGCUUGCUAAGUUUGAUGGCGACCGGCGCACGGGUGAGUAACACGUAUCCAACCUGCCGAUGACUCGGGGAUAGCCUUUCGAAAGAAAGAUUAAUACCCGAUGGCAUAGUUCUUCCGCAUGGUAGAACUAUUAAAGAAUUUCGGUCAUCGAUGGGGAUGCGUUCCAUUAGGUUGUUGGCGGGGUAACGGCCCACCAAGCCUUCGAUGGAUAGGGGUUCUGAGAGGAAGGUCCCCCACAUUGGAACUGAGACACGGUCCAAACUCCUACGGGAGGCAGCAGUGAGGAAUAUUGGUCAAUGGACGAGAGUCUGAACCAGCCAAGUAGCGUGAAGGAUGACUGCCCUAUGGGUUGUAAACUUCUUUUAUACGGGAAUAAAGUGAGGCACGUGUGCCUUUUUGUAUGUACCGUAUGAAUAAGGAUCGGCUAACUCCGUGCCAGCAGCCGCGGUAAUACGGAGGAUCCGAGCGUUAUCCGGAUUUAUUGGGUUUAAAGGGAGCGUAGGCGGACGCUUAAGUCAGUUGUGAAAGUUUGCGGCUCAACCGUAAAAUUGCAGUUGAUACUGGGUGUCUUGAGUACAGUAGAGGCAGGCGGAAUUCGUGGUGUAGCGGUGAAAUGCUUAGAUAUCACGAAGAACUCCGAUUGCGAAGGCAGCUUGCUGGACUGUAACUGACGCUGAUGCUCGAAAGUGUGGGUAUCAAACAGGAUUAGAUACCCUGGUAGUCCACACAGUAAACGAUGAAUACUCGCUGUUUGCGAUAUACAGUAAGCGGCCAAGCGAAAGCGUUAAGUAUUCCACCUGGGGAGUACGCCGGCAACGGUGAAACUCAAAGGAAUUGACGGGGGCCCGCACAAGCGGAGGAACAUGUGGUUUAAUUCGAAGCAACGCGAAAAACCUUACCAAGACUUGAAAUCGAUGGAAUCCUUAAGAAAUUAGGGAGUGCCCUUCGGGGAACCAGAAGACAGGUGGUGCACGGCUGUCGUCAGCUCGUGUCGUGAGAUGUUGGGUUAAGUCCCGCAACGAGCGCAACCCUUAUUGCUAGUAGCCAGCGGUUCGGCCGGGCACUCUAGUGAGACUGCCGGAGACAAUCCGGAGGAAGGUGGGGAUGACGUCAAAUCAGCACGGCCCUUACGUCCGGGGCUACACACGUGUUACAAUGGGGGGUACAGAAGGCAGCUACACGGCGACGUGAUGCUAAUCCCUAAAGCCUCUCUCAGUUCGGAUUGGAGUCUGCAACCCGACUCCAUGAAGCUGGAUUCGCUAGUAAUCGCGCAUCAGCCACGGCGCGGUGAAUACGUUCCCGGGCCUUGUACACACCGCCCGUCAAGCCAUGAAAGCCGGGGGUACCUGAAGUGCGUAACCGCAAGGAGCGCCCUAGGGUAAAACUGGUGAUUGGGGCU
rnacentral:rRNA from 1 species